GUUUUUAAAGCACUGUUUUCUAGACCAUGCAACUAAAUAUGUGUUAAAAUUGCAUUUAAAUAUCUAUUCAGAAUGUCUGAUUGUCUUAUACUGAUACUUGUAGAAGUAUUUAGAUAUUUGACUUCUUGGAGAAGUACCAAGAAAUAAUCUGUCUGAGACUAACUAUGAGGUUAUAUGUUGAUGUUCCUACUUUGCCCACUUGCCCCUGGAUUAUGAGCAGUAAAUAAUAUGUAUCUGCAUCUGGUGCUUUUCUAGGAGAGACAGUAAGGUAGAUGAAGAUAGUUCAGGAGGCACUUCAAAGCUCAGUUUUGUAUGAAGCAAUGCAUCAGAGCUCAGUGUCAGUAAAUGCCCUGAGGCUACUGCAAACUGUGGAUGAAGGGAGCAGUUGUAUCUCUGCCUUGUGAGAGUUCUUACAGCAGCAGUACUAGCCCCAGCCUCUUCUCCCUUGCCUGCAGUUCUGUCAAAUACAACUUCCAUUUGCCAAAACUUAAGGUAGCAAACUCAGAACUUUCAAGCAAGCCUGAAGAGAGUGUAAAGUGUGGGGUCUGCGUCUGUCUUUUGUAUUGGAAGUUCAGUUGCUUACAGCCUUUGCUAUUCCUCUAAAACACCAAACCUCUGUACAUGUGUACUGCAGGUUUUAUGCCAGAGUUACAGUUCAUAGUUUGAAAAAGAUUAACAGUAUCGGGGUGGGGAAGAUACUGAGAAAGCAAGAUUUGCUGUUGUAAAUUGAGGUCAAGUUGUUUGGUUUUUUCUUAAAUUUGGCUGUUGAGAUGAAACUGAGCAAGACAGACUCGGUGGGACAAAGCACAGUAAUAACAGAACAUGAGUCAUUGCUUAGUAGUAAAAAAACCCCUGAAAUGAAUAGCUGGUAUGGAGUCAUAUACUAGAAAACUCUUUGAUACUCUGUGGCUAAAAUAAAGUAAAUGUUUCUUGGAGAAGAGUUGUAAAGGAAACAGUUAAUGUUUUUGAAAGCUUCUUUCACUAUUGUGAUCAAAUGGUGAGGUGGGAUUCAGUGUCACUGGAGAAUGUGUAUAUACCUGAAAAACAGAUGUAGAGAAACAUUAUAGCCUGUUGUACCUGAGACAGGAUGUUGGUUUGCCAGGAGAAGGAUAAAAUCGGAAGGAUUGCUUUUUCACAUUGAAAUAGGAAGAUAAUCUUUGCUGAAACUGGCUAAAGGUAAAUAUUAGCAUUGCUGCCUUCUCAUUAAAACAAAUAGUCUUGGUUUCUGAGUAAAGCUAAAUAUUAGUAUUGCUGCCUUUUCAUUUAAACAAAUAUUGUCUUGGUUGAAGCCAAGUACUCUAUUUCAGUUUCUGUCUCUAAGUAGCCAAGAAUUGUCUUGACUGAGGAUUUCAUGUGUGUUGAACAUCCUUACCAUAGUUUGAGGAUGCAGAGAUGUAGGAACACUGAAUUUGGCCACAAACUUAAAUGCAAGAAACUUCAUUUAAACUUGGGAGGGUAUGUGUUAUUUGGGGAUGUUUUUUAUUGGAUUGUUUUGUUUUAAAUGAUAAGGGGGCCAAGCGCUGGAAGAAAUUGCCCAGAGAAGUUGUGUGUCUGGCCCUGGAGGUACCCAGACCAAACUGGAUGUGGCCCUAAGCAUCCUGCACUAUAGUUGACCCUGUCUUCAGCAGGAAUCUUGAACUAUGUGAUCCACAGAAGUUGCUUUCAACAUGAAGCUGUAUGAUUCCAUGGUUUCUGCACAGGAUUGGAAGUGGAACACCUGCAGCUUGUGACAAGAUGGCAUAAGAGGCUUUUUGAAAACGAUUUGCAGCAGAUGAAUAGUGGCUCUGGCAUGAAACCUAAGCUUUCCUAAAAUAUAAUUCCAGCUUUGCUCAGUGGCUGCCAGUGAAGUCUGUUCUUUAGUUGUAUACUGGAGAGGGAAGUUCUGGUAGCCUGGCUCAGCUAGCAGGCUUUUAAUUCAAGGACCACUGCAGGCAGUCUGAUUCCUUGUGUUUGAACAUGAUGUAUACAGGAUGUGGAUCCAAAAACAUUGUGAACAGCAAGUGAACUAUAAGAUCCUUUUGACUGUUGAGCUUUCUGCACAAGGGAGUUGGUUUCUUAGAAAAUAGAUAGUUAUGCAGAAGGGCAAGGAAAAAUGGAGUACUUGAACCUGCUGAUGGCCUAUGUGAGAAACACAUCGAAAGCUACCACUCUGAUCCCUAUAAAUAAUAAAUAAAAGGUUGAAUAAAAGGCUUUUCAGUGCAGUUGUGA